GAGGUCAAUUUGGAUUAAGGGCAAAGGCAUCAAUUCGCUGCUGCUCCGCCGAGUGUUUCAUUGUCCGAGAGGUCCGAGUAAUCUUGUUAAACUCCGUCGUGCUGUGGAUAGAGUAUUUCAACUAUUGCUCUUCAACGAGCAAUCCCUAGUAAGCGCAAGUCGUCAGCUUGUGUU
rnacentral:ncRNA from 1 species